GUUUAUUAUCUUUUUUUGCUUGUGUUUGCGUGUGGGACUAAUAUAACAAUUUAAGUUGUGCGCGAUAAGAUUCAUUAUCGUUGUACUCGUAUUUUUGUGAACGUUGAACGCAUUAGUGUUUUUAAUUCGUUUUUUUUUUUGUGUGUGGCAUUGAUGGGCAGUGUGGAAUAUUGGACUGUCCUUGUCCGUAGGCAUUAUUAGUUUAAUUUUGUGUGGAUGUGUUUGUUAGUUAUGUGGUAAUCAAGAGUGUAUUCAUCAAGUUUCUGUGAUUUUAAGGCAAAAAAGUGGGAAAACAGUUUUUUCUUGUUUAAUUUAAAAUUAAUGUUGGAAGCAUUUUUAAAUACGAGUACCAUGUGAUUUGUUGAUGAAUUAUUGUGAUUUAAUAUUUUGUAAUUUUGAGAUUUGGGAUUUUUUUAGAAUUAAUUUUUAAUUUUUUAUAUCUAGCUUUAUAAUAAAGAUGGUUAUUAUGUUUUAACUUUAUCGAUCCUUCAGAUUAUUGAUUAAUUGAAUUAAUAAAACUAUAAACAUAGCAAUAAUGUUUUCACAAUAUCCUGUGUAAUCUAAUAAAUAAUAUUUCAAAUUUAAACAACGCACCAAUAUAAUUUUGUAAACUGUAUAGUUUGGUUCACCUUCAAUAAAGAGCUCUAAAAAGUGUGAUAGUUUUAAGAAAACCGACAUAAGAAUCCUUGUAAAAUGAUAUUUUACAUUACUUUUUGGAUAUACUGGGCGUCCAUAUAUUUGGUGCAAAUCAAUGCUGAAUGUGACUUAAAAAUACGCGACGUGCCUGAUGGACGUGAACUCGACAAUGUAUUUGUAGUAUGUGGGAAUGAUGUACCAGCAAUGCCCAAAGAUCUUAUGGACGACGAAGAGGAUCCAUCCAAGACGAUGACAGUUUGCCAUUGUCAGGAAAUUAAUGAUAAUGUAUUCAAUCAAUUUAGCGACUUAAGAUUGUUGUCCCUGACAAAAAUGAAUUUAAAUAGUUUUAAUUUUUCUCUUGUCGCGAACAACCCUCGUUUGCGCACACUGAUUUUGGACCAUAAUCCAAUUGAUAAUUUGUUUAACGAUGCACAAAUUACAUUGGAGAAUUUGAGUCUAAGGAAUACUAGUUUGCGGAUGAUGCCUGAUGCAACGUUGGACAUUAUGAAACAUUUGAAAGUGUUAAAUAUUUCUGGGGAGUAUUUUCAUGCUAGUCACCAAGAAGUGUGUUCAAAAUUCGGUUCUUUGGAGAUGUUUAAUGGUAGACGUUGCAAUCGAGCAAUGUAUAGGAUACCUCCUAAGGAAUUGUUACAACAACGAAGUGACGACGAUUCAUCUGGGCAUCAAUGGAAACCUGUGAGCUGUGUGCUCCGGAUAAAAAAUACGCUAAUCUCGGUUUAUCAUAAACAAAUACAGAUAGAAAAUCUGUAAACAGUCUGUUGCGAUUAUCCCGGCAUUUUCAUGGGUGUGGUCCCUGUGGAAUGACGGUACAAACUCUCUUUGCCUUAUAUUGCAUUUUAAGCUUUCUGUUGCUUGUCAAUAGUCAGCAGCACAGAUGCGAUACAAAAAUGCAUGACGUGCCAGGUGGCAGAGAACUGCUUAAUGUGCUCGUAUGUGGAAAAGGUGAGCCACAGCUGCCGAAACAUCUUCAGCCAUUGGAUCGGGAUCCCACCAAGACGAUGAGAGUGUGCUGUUGCAAGGACUUUUGUGAUAAUGUCUUCCAUCAGUUUAGCGACCUAAGAUUAUUAUCACUAACACAAAUAAAUUUAACUCGAUUUGAUUUGUCUUUUAUAGCAAACAAUCCACGUUUGGAAACGUUGAUUUUGGAUAAUAAUCCAAUUGAGGAGUUGAUCAGUGAUGCGCAAAUUUCAUUGGAGACUUUAAGUUUAAAAAAUACCAUGUUGAAGAGUAUACCCAACACCACUCUGCAUAUUAUGAAACAUUUAAAAUAUCUAUAUAUUGAUGAUAAUUCUGAAGAUCAUAUUGAUCCGUGUGAAGAAUUGAAGUCCUUGGAAGCGUUUAAUGAGAAGCCUUGCUCGCAACGUCAAACUGUUGAAAUAAGGAAUAUUAAUGAAAAGUUAGAAAAUAAUGAAAAUACAAGAUUAUUACCUGCAAUCCAAGGAAUAUUAUUAAUAGUGUUAAUUCUAUUCUUGUAAAUUGUUUUCAUAAAAUAAUAAAAAGUAAAAUUGAAUUUUAAA